rnacentral:rRNA from 1 species
CAACAGGGAUUGCCCCAGUAACGGCGAGUGAAGCGGCAGCAGCUCAAAUUUGAAAUCUGGGGCCCUUGGCCCCCGAGUUGUAAUUUGGAGAGGCAUCUUCUGGGGGGAGCGCCGGCCCAUGUUCCUUGGAACAGGACGUCACAGAGGGUGAGAAUCCCGUGCGAGGCAGGUGGCCUCCUCCCAUGUGGAGGGCCUUCGACGAGUCGAGUUGUUUGGGAAUGCAGCUCCAAGUGGGUGGUAAAUUUCAUCUAAAGCUAAAUACUGGCGGGAGACCGAUAGCGCACAAGUAGAGUGAUCGAAAGAUGAAAAGCACUUUGAAAAUAGAGUCAAAAAGUACGUGAAAUUGUUGAAAGGGAAGCGCUUGAGACCAGACUCGGGCCCGGGCAAACACCGCGUCCUUCGGGGCCGUGCAAUUGCCUGGGCCUGGGCCAGCAUCAGUUGGUGUGGCGGGACAAAGGGGCGGGCAAUGUGGCUCCCCACGGGGAGUGUUAUAGGCCCGCCCUGAAUGCCGCCGACGUCGACUGAGGACCGCGCUUCGGUUAGGAUGCUGGCUCAAU